rnacentral:rRNA from 1 species
UACGUAGGUGGCAAGCUUUGUCCGGAAUUAUUGGGCGUAAAGCGCGCGCAGGCGGUCCUUUAAGUCUGAUGUGAAAGCCCACGGCUCAACCGUGGAGGGUCAUUGGAAACUGGGGGACUUGAGUGCAGAAGAGGAAAGCGGAAUUCCACGUGUAGCGGUGAAAUGCGUAGAGAUGUGGAGGAACACCAGUGGCGAAGGCGGCUCGCUGGGCCGGUCCUGACGCUGAAACGCGAAGGCGUGGGGAGCGAACGGG